CAGGACGAACGCUGGCGGCGUGCCUAAUACAUGCAAGUCGAGCGGACUUGAWGGAGUGCUUGCACUCCUGAGRGUUAGCGGCGGACGGGUGAGUAACACGUAGGCAACCUGCCCUCAAGACUGGGAUAACUACCGGAAACGGUAGCUAAUACCGGAUAAUUUAUUWCAUAGCAUUAUGKRAUAAUGAAAGACGGAGCAAUCUGUCACUUGGGGAUGGGCCUGCGGCGCAUUAGCUAGUUGGUGGGGUAAYGGCCCACCAAGGCGACGAUGCGUAGCCGACCUGAGAGGGUGAACGGCCACACUGGGACUGAGACACGGCCCAGACUCCUACGGGAGGCAGCAGUAGGGAAUCUUCCGCAAUGGGCGAAAGCCUGACGGAGCAACGCCGCGUGAGUGAUGAAGGUUUUCGGAUCGUAAAGCUCUGUUGCCAAGGAAGAACGUCUCAUAGAGUAACUGCU
rnacentral:rRNA from 1 species